rnacentral:rRNA from 1 species
UACAGAGGGGGCAAGCGUUGUUCGGAAUUACUGGGCGUAAAGGGCGCGUAGGCGGCCUGCUAAGUCGAACGUGAAAUCCCCGAGCUCAACUCGGGAACUGCGUCCGAUACUGGCAGGCUUGAAUCCGGGAGAGGGAUGCGGAAUUCCAGGUGUAGCGGUGAAAUGCGUAGAUAUCUGGAGGAACACCGAUGGCGAAGGCACCGCUCUGGCCGAAGACUGACGCUGAGGCGCGAAAGCUGGGGGAGCGAACGGG